GAUGAACGCUGGCGGCGUGCUUAACACGUGCAAGUCGAACGGGAUCCAUCAGGCUUUGCUUGGUGGUGAGAGUGGCGAACGGGUGAGUAAUGCGUGACCGACCUGCCCCAUACACCGGAAUAGCUCCUGGAAACGGGUGGUAAUGCCGGAUGCUCCAGUUGAUCGCAUGGUCUUCUGGGAAAGCUUUCGCGGUAUGGGAUGGGGUCGCGUCCUAUCAGCUUGACGGCGGGGUAACGGCCCACCGUGGCUUCGACGGGUAGCCGGCCUGAGAGGGCGACCGGCCACAUUGGGACUGAGAUACGGCCCAGACUCCUACGGGAGGCAGCAGUGGGGAAUAUUGCACAAUGGGCGCAAGCCUGAUGCAGCGACGCCGCGUGAGGGAUGGAGGCCUUCGGGUUGUAAACCUCUUUUAUCGGGGAGCAAGCGAGAGUGAGU
rnacentral:rRNA from 1 species